rnacentral:rRNA from 1 species
UACAGAGGUCUCAAGCGUUGUUCGGAAUCAUUGGGCGUAAAGGGUGCGUAGGCGGCGCGGUAAGUCGGGUGUGAAAUCUUGGAGCUUAACUCCGAAACUGCAUUCGAUACUGCCGUGCUUGAGGACUGGAGAGGAGACUGGAAUUUACGGUGUAGCGGUGAAAUGCGUAGAUAUCGUAAGGUAGACCAGUGGCGAAGGCGGGUCUCUGGACAGUUCCUGACGCUGAGGCACGAAGGCCAGGGGAGCAAACGGG